UCCCUCAUGGCUCAGCUGGUAAAGAAUCUGCCUGCAAUGCAGGAGACCUGGGUUCAAUCCCUGGGUGGGGAA
rnacentral:tRNA from 1 species